AUUCGGCGGCUAGGUAAACCCCACUCGGAGCAAGGCCAAAUAGGGGAGUAAUGGUGCGACCCGUACCGCUCCCGGGUAGGCUGCUUGAGGCAUGUGGUGACACAUGUCCCAGAUGAAUGACUGUCCACGACAGAACCCGGCUUAUCGAUCGACUCAUUUU
rnacentral:RNase_P_RNA from 1 species